CAUGACAAAAAGUUUGUUGAAAAGAUUCGUUGCCUCAUUGACAUGUGUCACUCAACUUAGGUACACCUGGUUUAGUUUAACGGGAAAGUCUUGAGAGUCCAGUGGUAAGCUAGCUGUGCUUUCUGCAGGAAGCUUUUCUUCAUUUCUCUGACUCUUCACACUUGUUUGUGGUCACAUUUUGGUGUAAGUUAUUUGCUUUUUAGGGCAAUUUCAUUUAUUUUGAAUUUGCGUACGUGGACUGUGAUUUGUAAGAAACGAGCAGAUGAAAAAAGGAGGGAUCCGGGGAAACGCGCUCUUCAGUUCUACAGAUACAAGGACAAUUGAGAAAGCAUGCUUGAGAGUUGGAAUUUCUUCUGUCUUUUGGCUGUUAUGCUAAUACCUGCACCAAAACUGUGCCUGGGGACGUCUGCCAUUCCCUCCGAUGAUUUGAUUCAAGUUAAUAAUCAAUAUUACAAUCAGGAUGUGAAAUGUGUGAAUAUUAAAUGUGCACCUGGUUAUCAAGCAGAACCAUGUGACCCAAGGAACAAAUCUUCCGCCUUUUGUAAAGAGUGUCCGGAUGAGAGUUUUCAGCAAUUUGAAAAUGAUUUGACGGUCCGCUGCUCU